GACGAACGCUGGCGGCGUGCCUAAUACAUGCAAGUCGAACGCUGAAGAGAGGAGCUUGCUCUUCUUGGAUGAGUUGCGAACGGGUGAGUAACGCGUAGGUAACCUGCCUUGUAGCGGGGGAUAACUAUUGGAAACGAUAGCUAAUACCGCAUAACAAUGGAUGACACAUGUCAUUUAUUUGAAAGGGGCAAUUGCUCCACUACAAGAUGGACCUGCGUUGUAUUAGCUAGUAGGUGAGGUAAUGGCUCACCUAGGCGACGAUACAUAGCCGACCUGAGAGGGUGAUCGGCCACACUGGGACUGAGACACGGCCCAGACUCCUACGGGAGGCAGCAGUAGGGAAUCUUCGGCAAUGGGGGCAACCCUGACCGAGCAACGCCGCGUGAGUGAAGAAGGUUUUUGGAUCGUAAAGCUCUGUUGUAAGUCAAGAACGGGUGUGAGAGUGGAAAGUUCACACUGUGACGGUAGCUUACCAGAAAGGGACGGCUAACUACGUG
rnacentral:rRNA from 1 species